rnacentral:rRNA from 1 species
CCUACGUGAGGCAGCAGUGAGGAAUCUUUGUCAAUGGACGAGAGUCUGAACCAGCCAAGUAGCGUGAAGGAUGACUGCCCUCUGGGUUGUAAACUUCUUUUAUAUGGGAAUAAAACAGGGUAUGCAUAUGCUCUUGUAUGUACCAUAUGAAUAAGGAUCGGCUAACUCCGUGCCAGCAGCCGCGGUCAUACGGAGGAUCCGAGCGUUAUCCGGAUUUAUUGGGUUUAAAGGGAGCGUAGGUGGAUUGUUAAGUCAGUUGUGAAAGUUUGCGGCUCAACCGUAAAAUUGCAGUUGAAACUGGCAGUCUUGAGUACAGUAGAGGUGGGCGGAAUUCGUGGUGUAGCGGUGAAAUGCUUAGAUAUCACGAAGAACUCCGAUUGCGAAGGCAGCUCACUGGACUGCAACUGACACUGAUGCUCGAAAGUGUGGGUAUCAAACAGGAUUAGAUACCCGUGUAGUC